AUCCCAGCUCCAAUAGCGUAUAUUAAAGUUGUUGCAGUUAAAAAGCUCGUAGUUGGAUUUCUGGCGCAUUCCACUGGCCUAUUGGUUAACUCCAACUUGGCUCAUUUGGAAUACGCCAUCUUUAGGCAGACCCGUCGUGGCAUUAGGUUGUCGUGAUGGUUACGCCUAUCGUUUACUGUGAAGAAAUUAGGGUGUUCAAAGCAGGCUUAUGCCAUGAAUACGUUAGCAUGGAAUAAUGAGAUAGGAUUUCGGUACUAUUUUGUUGGUUUGUGUACGGAAAUAAUGAUUAACAGGAACAGUGUUGUGGGUAUUCGUAUUUCGUUGUCAGAGGUGAAAUUCUUGGAUUUACGAAAGACGAACGACUGCGAAAGCAUUUACCAAGGAUGUUUUCAUUG
rnacentral:rRNA from 1 species